GCGGGCGUGGUGGAACUGGUAGACACGCGGGAUUUAGGUUCCCGUGCCGCAAGGCGUGUGGGUUCAAAUCCCUCCGCCCGCACCA
rnacentral:tRNA from 1 species